rnacentral:rRNA from 1 species
ACGAACGCUGGCGGCGUGCCUAAUACAUGCAAGUAGAACGCUGAAGAGAGGAGCUUGCUCUUCUUGGAUGAGUUGCGAACGGGUGAGUAACGCGUAGGUAACCUGCCUUGUAGCGGGGGAUAACUAUUGGAAACGAUAGCUAAUACCACAUAACAAUGGAUGACACAUGUCAUUUAUUUGAAAGGGGCAAUUGCUCCACUACAAGAUGGACCUGCGUUGUAUUAGCUAGUAGGUGAGGUAACGGCUCACCUAGGCGACGAUACAUAGCCGACCUGAGAGGGUGAUCGGCCACACUGGGACUGAGACACGGCCCAGACUCCUACGGGAGGCAGCAGUAGGGAAUCUUCGGCAAUGGGGGCAACCCUGACCGAGCAACGCCGCGUGAGUGAAGAAGGUUUUCGGAUCGUAAAGCUCUGUUGUAAGUCAAGAACGAGUGUGAGAGUGGAAAGUUCACACUGUGACGGUAGCUUACCAGAAAGGGACGGCUAACUACGUGCCAGCAGCCGCGGUAAUACGUAGGUCCCGAGCGUUGUCCGGAUUUAUUGGGCGUAAAGCGAGCGCAGGCGGUUUGAUAAGUCUGAAGUUAAAGGCUGUGGCUCAACCAUAGUUCGCUUUGGAAACUGUCAAACUUGAGUGCAGAAGGGGAGAGUGGAGUUCCAUGUGUAGCGGUGAAAUGCGUAGAUAUAUGGAGGAACACCGGUGGCGAAAGCGGCUCUCUGGUCUGUAACUGACGCUGAGGCUCGAAAGCGUGGGGAGCGAACAGGAUUAGAUACCCUGGUAGUCCACGCCGUAAACGAUGAGUGCUAGGUGUUGGAUCCUUUCCGGGAUUCAGUGCCGCAGCUAACGCAUUAAGCACUCCGCCUGGGGAGUACGACCGCAAGGUUGAAACUCAAAGGAAUUGACGGGGGCCCGCACAAGCGGUGGAGCAUGUGGUUUAAUUCGAAGCAACGCGAAGAACCUUACCAGGUCUUGACAUCCCGAUGCUAUUUCUAGAGAUAGAAAGUUACUUCGGUACAUCGGUGACAGGUGGUGCAUGGUUGUCGUCAGCUCGUGUCGUGAGAUGUUGGGUUAAGUCCCGCAGCGAGCGCAACCCCUAUUGUUAGUUGCCAUCAUUCAGUUGGGCACUCUAGCGAGACUGCCGGUAAUAAACCGGAGGAAGGUGGGGAUGACGUCAAAUCAUCAUGCCCCUUAUGACCUGGGCUACACACGUGCUACAAUGGUUGGUACAACGAGUUGCGAGUCGGUGACGGCAAGCUAAUCUCUUAAAGCCAAUCUCAGUUCGGAUUGUAGGCUGCAACUCGCCUACAUGAAGUCGGAAUCGCUAGUAAUCGCGGAUCAGCACGCCGCGGUGAAUACGUUCCCGGGCCUUGUACACACCGCCCGUCACACCACGAGAGUUUGUAACACCCGAAGUCGGUGAGGUAACCUUUUGGAGCCAGCCGCCUAAGGUGGGAUAGAUGAUUGGGGUGAA